GUCUGGUUGAUUUUAGAUGGUACGUGGACGAGCAUUUUUUAUUUAAUAGCUACGUAUUUAUUUUAACAUGUAUUGGGGGGAAAACCCCGUUUUCUAUUUGUGAUAGUGACAUCAAGCUUCCUUUAACAAGGAAUGUAUUUCAUUGAGCUGUGCAAAGGGCUGGGGGAAGUGGAGGGGACAGGUGGCCGAGGUCUUCCAAGAUACUGAGGCCGUGGCUCUGGGUUUCGUUUCCGCGCGGUGGACGCCGAUAAGAAGACGGGCCUCAGCCGGCGGCGCCUGGACGGGCUUGGGGGCGAGGGAGAGGCCGGCGGGAGCGGGAUCUGCGGUGCGGCAGGAAGAGUGUGCACCGGCGUGCUUUCCACUCACUGCAUCCGCGCUCCCUCUCCAACUCUUUAAGGCUGGGAGUGUCCUUGUGAACGCAGCGCCGAGCACAGGGUGCCCAUUAAGUGUUUCCCAAGAUCACAAAUGUGCAAACGCUUUGUGAGCGUUAUGCAAACAGGAGAGUUUACAACACCAAGAAUCCAAUUCCCGGGGGUCCCCCUAACUCAGCGCUCCUCAGCGCAGCGCGGGCAAGAUAGUCGCAGUGUUGGUUGAUUGACAAAUGGACCUGCAGGAGGAGGAGGACCGGGACACAGAGUGGGCGGUUCCGCCAGGGCGCCCUCCCAUGUGGGCCCUGAGGCCGAGGACUUUGAACGUCCUGGAGCAGGAACCAGGAAAAAUAGAAAUGAAACCGUAGCUUUCUGAGCAUGCGCACGGGGCCGCAGUACAAGCUCGUUACUCUACGGCCGAGCGCUGCUUGUAGGUGCCUCGUUAGCGCAGUAGGUAGCGCGUCAGUCUCAUAAUCUGAAGGUCGUGAGUUCGAUCCUCACACGGGGCACAAUACUUUUGUUCGCUGUAGGUCUGUCCUCCGGAGGGAAAGGGGUUUUACUUGCUCGUCUGUGGAUCGGGAGACCCGUACUCUUCCACUCUGGAGUCGCUGCUGUAUCGGCCAACGCUCGGCUCGUUCUGUCCUCCCCGAAGGACCCGGGCCAAUGGAUUGUGGAAAGGUGACACAGGACUUCUGGAAAGGAGUUCAAAGGAACUGUCUAAGCUGGGAGGUGGAACCUUUUGCCCUUCUGCCCUGCUUCCUCCCUGCUGAAUAUGUGGUGGCCGGAACUCCAGUCAUGCUGGAUGGUACUACAAUUUCAAACUCAAAAUCUUACUUUAAGAUGGCUGAAGGAAGUGAAAACUUAUGGUUUCAACACCAAAUAA